UACUCGAGUGGCGAACGGGUGAGUAACACGUGGGUGAUCGUGCCCUGCACUUCGGGAUAAGCCUGGGAAACUGGGUCUAAUACCGGAUAGGAGCCAUUUUUAGUGUGAUGGUUGGAAAGUUUUUUCGGUGUAGGAUGAGCUCGCGGCCUAUCAGCUUGUUGGUGGGGUAAUGGCCUACCAAGGCGGCGACGGGUAGCCGGCCUGAGAGGGUGGACGGCCACAUUGGGACUGAGAUACGGCCCAG
rnacentral:rRNA from 1 species